rnacentral:rRNA from 1 species
CAGUCGCCACGGUAAUACGUAGGUGGCAAGCGUUGUCCGGAAUUAUUGGGCGUAAAGCGCGCGCAGGUGGUUUAAUAAGUCUGAUGUGAAAGCCCACGGCUCAACCGUGGAGGGUCAUUGGAAACUGUUAAACUUGAGUGCAGGAGAGAAAAGUGGAAUUCCUAGUGUAGCGGUGAAAUGCGUAGAGAUUAGGAGGAACACCAGUGGCGAAGGCGGCUUUUUGGCCUGUAACUGACACUGAGGCGCGAAAGCGUGGGGAGCAAACAGGAUUAGAUACCCCGGUAGUCCCUGUCUCUUAUAC